rnacentral:lncRNA from 7 species
GAACUUACCUUACACUAGAGCUCGACAAUCUCCUAGUUGUUUUUGGAUUUUCUGAACUACAACACCUUCCUUUCCUUGCUGCCCCUGCCGUACCAAAGAUUUGUAGGAUCUUGUGUUUAUUAUCAGCUAUUCUUAUGCUAACAUAUCAGCUACAUAACAAGAAGAAGGAAAAAACAAGUUUGCAGUGAACUCACACGAAUCUGUUUUGCUAGGCUUAAUAUUGCAAGAACCUUGAACCAACUUUUAAUCCUGCAUGCAAGAAAGAACAAAAAUGUUGAAUACAUGCUAGAGAAAAAAAUGUUGCAAGCUAGAGAAAAAAA